rnacentral:pre_miRNA from 1 species
GGUGGAAUGGUCUCAGCGAGCCUCAUGCCUGAAGACGACUGGGACCAUUCCACCUA